GACAAACGCUAGCGGCGUGUAUUAGGCAUGCAAGUCGCACGGUCACCUCGCAAGAGGUGGCAGUGGCGGACGGGUGAGUAACACGUGGGUAACCUGCCUCGCAGUGGGGAAUAACUCGCCGAAAGGCGAGCUAAUACCGCAUACCACUCUCGGUGAGAAUCCGAGCAGUAAAAGUAGCAAUGCGCUGUGAGAGGGGCCCGCGGCCGAUUAGCUUGUUGGUGGGGAACGGCCUACCAAGGCGACGAUCGGUAGCUGGUCUGAGAGGAUGGUCAGCCACACGGGGACUGAGAUACGGCCCCGACUCCUACGGGAGGCAGCAGCUAAGAAUCUUGCGCAAUGAGCGAAAGCUUGACGCAGCAACGCCGCGUGGAGGACGAAGGCCCUCGGGUCGUAAACUCCUUUUGUGAGGGAAGAGAUCUGACGGUACCUCACGAAUAAGCCACGGCUAACUACGUGCCAGCAGCCGCAGUAAU
rnacentral:rRNA from 1 species